rnacentral:lncRNA from 1 species
UGUAGAUUCUCAUAAUGAGAAAGGAGGAUAAUUAAGCUAGAAUAUUAUUAGUAGCACUAAGUCAUUGGGGCUAUUAGGUCUUCUGCCUUUGGAUGAAGAGAUGUGCGGUUAGGAUGAUAGUAGGCUCAUAGGUUUGAGUGGUGAUUGAUUUAGUAUGAUCUAACAGAUGAAAAUGAUCAAAAAAAUAGAUCUAAUUAAUAGCAGAAAACUUAUAAGUACUAAAUAUUUGCUGUUUUUAAAAGUACCAUAUCCAGGCUCUCUCUCUAUAUAUAUAU